rnacentral:rRNA from 1 species
UACGUAGGGCGCAAGCGUUGUCCGGAAUUAUUGGGCGUAAAGAGCUCGUAGGCGGUUUGUUGCGUCUGCCGUGAAAUCCCGAGGCUUAACCUUGGGUCUGCGGUGGAUACGGGCAGGCUAGAGGUAGGUAGGGGAGAAUGGAAUUCCCGGUGUAGCGGUGAAAUGCGCAGAUAUCGGGAGGAACACCGGUGGCGAAGGCGGUUCUCUGGGCCUUACCUGACGCUGAGGAGCGAAAGCGUGGGGAGCGAACAGG